rnacentral:rRNA from 1 species
ACGGAAGGCAGCAGUGGGGAAUAUUGGGCAAUGGGCGAAAGCCUGACCCAGCAACGCCGCGUGAAGGAAGAAGGUCUUCGGAUUGUAGACUUCUUUUAUGAGGGACGAAGGACGUGACGGUACCUCAUGAAUAAGCCACGGCUAACUACGUGCCAGCAGCCGCGGUAAUACGUAGGUGGCAAGCGUUAUCCGGAUUUACUGGGUGUAAAGGGCGCGUAGGCGGGAAGGCAAGUCAGAUGUGAAAUCCAUUGGCUCAACCCAUGAACUGCAUUUGAAACUGUUUUUCUUGAGUGCUGGAGAGGUAGACGGAAUUCCUUGUGUAGCGGUGAAAUGCGUAGAUAUAAGGAAGAACACCAGUGGCGAAGGCGGUCUACUGGACAGUAACUGACGCUGAGGCGCGAAAGCGUGGGGAGCAAACAGGAUUAGAUACCCUGGUA